GAAUGGAGGUGGCAAUGCCGUUGGACCUAAAAUCACGACUAGUCAGAACGUUAAAGUAAACAGCGAGAAGAAAUGGCCAUUUGGCAUCAUUACUGCAACAGUGGGAGCCGCACUGGCUCUAUCAGUUCUCGCAACUGUUUGCAUAUGCUGUUAUUUUUUAUGGAAGCGGUCAUCGAAAAAGAACAGAAGGAAGAUGUUCAAAAGAUGGGACAAAAAGAUUCGACCACAACCUCCAACGAAACGCCCUAGGCACCUGCGUUAUUGAAACUUUAGAUUUUUUAUUUAAACUUCAUAGUUUUUUAAAAAUAAUAAUAUAUGAAGUGUACUCUUCUAUCAAUAUCAAUGGCGAUUAAUGUUGUAUAUCUUAUUAUUAGAAUAAAAUGCUUAUUGAAGUUUU
rnacentral:misc_RNA from 1 species